UCAAAUCAGUCAAUUAUAGUGCCCGUAUAACAUUUGGACACAUCAGAGAGGAUGCCCAGUAUUGGAAACAAAAUUUAUGCUGCAGAAAAAAUCCAGACAUGAAGCAAUCAGGAUAUACACAUUCAGAGAUUCCCUUCGACGUUACUCAAAUCAGUCAAUUGUAUAUCCCGCAUAACAUUUGAACAAAUCAAAAGAGGAAGUAUCCUGACCACAUAUGACAAGCCAAUCCAGGGACACAGGGAUUCCCACCUACUCUAUCUAUCUACAAACAAAAUUUUCCCUCUCCAGCACCAGAAUGGGAGUGGUCAACUUGAGCUGCUUUACUGCAUUCUUCUUGAACUCAGCACGUCAGGAUCCAAAAUCUUAACAGCAACCUGUUACAGCAACAUACAAGGGAAUCAAAUACUACCAUCGUCAUCUCAAAAGCCUCACUUUUCAUAGCAAAAUAAGCUCAGAUCACAUUACUUCUUGUUGAUGAAAUCUAUCACGCUAACCAGAAAACUAACCAAAAAAUGGAAGGAAAUUGCUAAUGAGCCACAUCACAGAUCAAACAAAAAUGUUAUCUCUGUUUCAAGAAUUUCAGCCCAUGAAGUCACAUAUCAUCUAUUUGAAUAUGAUACACGAACAGUCCUGACCUGCUGGUAGCUUCUUCUUCUUCUGCAGCAGAACAACGUCGUCGCAGUCAACAGGCACCCUUCUUCUACCAAUCACCUCCGAAGCCCUCAAAAUGUUCUGAGGCAAGAAAUCUUCCCCCACCGGCGAAAAACCAUCUAGCUCCAGAAUGAGUAACCGCCUGGCGUGGCUC
rnacentral:lncRNA from 1 species